rnacentral:rRNA from 3 species
UGGGGAAUAUUGCACAAUGGAGGGAACUCUGAUGCAGCGACGCCGCGUGAACGAAGAAGGCUUUCGAGUCGUAAAGUUCUUUUAUAUGGGAAGAUAAUGACGGUACCAUAAGAAAAAGCCCCGGCUAACUACGUGCCAGCAGCCGCGGUAAUACGUAGGGGGCUAGCGUUGUCCGGAAUCACUGGGCGUAAAGGGUUCGCAGGCGGAAAUGCAAGUCAGGUGUAAAAGGCAGUAGCUUAACUACUGUAAGCAUUUGAAACUGCAUAUCUCGAGAAGAGUAGAGGUAAGUGGAAUUUUUAGUGUAGCGGUGAAAUGCGUAGAUAUUAAAAAGAAUACCGGUGGCGAAGGCGACUUACUGGGCUCAUUCUGACGCUGAGGAACGAAAGCGUGGGUAGCAAACAGG